UUUAAUCACAGAUGUUGCAGAUGAGGGGGAUAACACAGAUGCAGGCGUGAACCAUUUAUCUCCGCAUCUGCGCUAUCCUUUUCAUCUGCAACAUCUAUG
rnacentral:misc_RNA from 1 species